rnacentral:rRNA from 1 species
AACGCUAGCUACAGGCUUAACACAUGCAAGUCGAGGGGCAGCAUAAAAGUAGCAAUACUUUGGUGGCGACCGGCGCACGGGUGAGUAACGCGUAUGCAACCUACCUAUCAGAGGGGGAUAACCCGGCGAAAGUCGGACUAAUACCGCAUAAAACUGGGGCACCGCAUGGUGAUAUUUGUUAAAAAUUUAUUGCUGAUAGAUGGGCAUGCGUUCCAUUAGGUAGUUGGAGAGGUAACGGCUCACCAAGCCCACGAUGGAUAGGGGAACUGAGAGGUUGGUCCCCCACACUGGUACUGAGACACGGACCAGACUCCUACGGGAGGCAGCAGUGAGGAAUAUUGGUCAAUGGGCGAGAGCCUGAACCAGCCAAGUCGCGUGAAGGAAGAAGGAUCUAUGGUUCGUAAACUUCUUUUGCAGGGGAAUAAAGUGCAGGACGUGUCCUGUUUUGUAUGUACCCUGAGAAUAAGGAUCGGCUAACUCCGUGCCAGCAGCCGCGGUAAUACGGAGGAUCCGAGCGUUAUCCGGAUUUAUUGGGUUUAAAGGGUGCGUAGGUGGUUUAAUAAGUCAGCGGUGAAAGUUUGCAGCUUAACUGUAAAAAUGCCGUUGAAACUGUUAGACUUGAGUGUAAAUGAGGUAGGCGGAAUGCGUGGUGUAGCGGUGAAAUGCUUAGAUAUCACGAAGAACUCCGAUUG